UGACUCUGCUGUCGGACAUCACGAAGAAGAGUGCGUAUAAAAGAAGCAGGCGAGCGUUUCUCCUCCUCUUCUCUGCGUGGUUUUUUAAUCAUGUGGUGUAGUGUCUUUUUCUCUCUCACGCCUUUCAGGCUCACAGCUUCACGCGCACAUGGCUUGGAUAACUGGAGUAACACGUGAUCCUGUCUUAUGCGCUGUUAUUGGUUCCUACGAAUGUAGCAGUCCUGUGACUGGCUGGUGAAUUUAGGCUGUCCAGGAAGUGUAGUUAUAUGAAUGGAGAAAGCAGGACUCUAAUGGACCACAUUUGUGUUCUUUAGGAUGACAUCACAGGAAUAUCAGAGACUCCUUUUCAGCUGUGCAGAAGGUUUGCCCCUUCCUGUUUGAGGCCUUUUAAUCCAAGAUGGAAAUUGGUGUGCUCAAGAAGUCAAAGAUCUUGCAUCAUGCUUGUGCAUCCUUUUAUAUGGCUUGUGAAGUCAUUCCAUCACUUUGGGCUGCAUGUUGAUGUGAAUCCUGACCAUGUAAUGAGAAAUAAAUGGAUUUUGAUGCAAAA